ensembl:misc_RNA Gm55051 predicted gene, 27419
AAGGAAGGAGAGGCUGUUUCUACAGGUGUCACAGAAAAAUCGAUGCUGAGCCACGGAUUAUUGGAUCCCACAGAACCGUGGAGACUUGGCAGUGAAAUUCUUCCAAAGG